CCAGACUCCUACGGGAGGCAGCAGUGGGGAAUAUUGCACAAUGGGGGAAACCCUGAUGCAGCAACGCCGCGUGAGUGAAGAAGUAUUUCGGUAUGUAAAGCUCUAUCAGCAGGGAAGAAAAUGACGGUACCUGAGUAAGAAGCCCCGGUUAACUACGUGCCAGCAGCCGCGGUAAUACGUAGGGGGCAAGCGUUAUCCGGAUUUACUGGGUGUAAAGGGAGCGUAGACGGCAGUGCAAGUCUGGAGUGAAAGGCGGGGGUUCAACCCCCGGACUGCUCUGGAAACUGUACGGCUGGAGUGCAGGAGAGGUAAGUGGAAUUCCUAGUGUAGCGGUGAAAUGCGUAGAUAUUAGGAGGAACACCAGUGGCGAAGGCGGCUUACUGGACUGUAACUGACGUUGAGGCUCGAAAGCGUGGGGAGCAAACAGGAUUAGAUACCCUAGUA
rnacentral:rRNA from 1 species